GUGAAUACAAAAUAUUCUUUUUUCUAUUAUUAAACUUAUUGGAAAAUAAUAAAUGUUUGACAAUUUUUUUCCGGUGCUUAGUUUUUUUCAUUUUUUUUUUUUUUUUUUACAAAAUACAAGACCCAUAAAACAAAACACUAUAACCAUGAUAACAUGCUGAGAUAAUAUUCAUUUACAAUCUGUUAAAGUAAACGGCUAUAUGACCGAUAUGCAUGUUUGGCGUUAAUAUGGGUGUAAAACAAGGCUGCAAAAUAUCACCAUCAUUAUUCUCUGUGUAUGUAAACGAUCUUGUCGAUGAAAUAAACAAUCUGAAUCUUGGUAUCCCGAUCAAUGAGUCGUGCAUUUUGUCUGUCCUGUUAUACGCUGACGACAUUGUUUUACUAGCACCAGAUGAAUAAUCUCUUCAAAUGAUGUUAAAUGUAGUCAACAACUGGUGUUCAAAGUGGAGAUUAAGUUUAAAUGUUGAAAAGACAAAAAUAAUACAUUUUCGUUGUCCCGCAACCCCUCGAUCGAACUUUAACUUUCUUUUUGGAGACACAACUACCAGUAUUGAUUAUUGCAGUAAAUACCGAUAUUUAGAAUUGUGGCUUGAUGAACAUCUAAAUUGGAAAUUUACAGUGAGGGAAAUAAGAAAGUCGGCUAGUAGAGCACUCUCCGCACUUUAUACAAAGUUCAUUUCAUGUGGCGGAAUGGACUAUGACAUAUUUACAAAACUAUAUGAAAGCCUUGUAAAGCCUGUUUUAUUAUAUGGAGCGAGUAUUUGGGGCAUAUCAGAACACAAACAAUUAGAAACUGUUCAAAACAAAGCAUGCCGAUACUACCUAGGUGCUUUCAAGAACUCUUCAAACCUAGCUAUACGUGGAGACAUAGGAUGGUCUACAGUAAAAACUAAACAAAAUAUCGAAGUUAUGAGACUGUAUUUUAAAGUUACAAACUUAGAUGGAAAUAGGCUCGUUAAAAAGAUAUAUGAAUCGAGUAAAUCAAAACAGCGCUCGUGGAAUUCCCGUGUACUGAAAUUUAUUAAAACAAAUGACUUUAGUUCUUUGAUAAACGCUCAAAAUAUGACAAUCCGACAAAAAGUUAAUAUUGUAAAGGACAAGUUAAACACUGUGGAUGCUGAAAAUUGGCUACGCGAUGUGCAUAACGAUCGAAACUGUGAAAAUGGAAAUAAACUUAGGACGUUCAGACAGUAUAAAAGUUAUCUUCAGCCAAGCAGUUAUGUGAAAUCCGU
rnacentral:lncRNA from 1 species